ACACACGUUGUCACAGAACCCCCCAAGUUCCCUGAUCUACCACACAACGUACAGCACAGUACACGGGUUGUCACAGAAACCCCCAAGUUCCCUGAUCUACCACACAACGUACAGCACAGUACACGGGUUGUCACAAAACCCCCCAAGUUCCCUAAUCUACCACACAACGUACAGCAUGAGUCCUAGUGUCAAGUAUUCAGGUGGCAUGACUACUGGGGUCAAGUAUUCAGGUGUUAUGACUCAUAGUGUCAAGUAUUCAGGUGUCAUGACUACUGGUGUCAAGUAUUCAGGUGUUAUGACUCCUAGUGUCAAGUAUUCAGGUGUUAUGACUCCUAGUGUCAAGUAUUCAGGUGUUAUG
rnacentral:misc_RNA from 1 species